rnacentral:rRNA from 1 species
UACGGAGGGUGCAAGCGUUGCUCGGAAUUAUUGGGCGUAAAGGGCGCGUAGGCGGCCAUUCAAGUCGGACGUGAAAUCCCUCGGCUCAACCGGGGAACUGCGUCCGAUACUGUCUGGCUCGAGUCCUGGAGAGGGUAGUGGAAUUCCCAGUGUAGCGGUGAAAUGCGUAGAUACUGGGAGGAACACCGGUGGCGAAGGCGGCUACCUGGACAGGUACUGACGCUGAUGCGCGAAAGCUAGGGGAGCAAACAGG